rnacentral:rRNA from 1 species
CGUGCUUAACACAUGCAAGUCGAACGGUGAAGCAGAGCUUGCUCUGUGGAUCAGUGGCGAACGGGUGAGUAACACGUGAGCAACCUACCCCUGACUCUGGGAUAAGCGCUGGAAACGGCGUCUAAUACUGGAUAUGUGACUCGACCGCAUGGUCUGUGUCUGGAAAGAAUUUCGGUUGGGGAUGGGCUCGCGGCCUAUCAGCUUGUUGGUGAGGUAAUGGCUCACCAAGGCGUCGACGGGUAGCCGGCCUGAGAGGGUGACCGGCCACACUGGGACUGAGACACGGCCCAGACUCCUACGGGAGGCAGCAGUGGGGAAUAUUGCACAAUGGGCGCAAGCCUGAUGCAGCAACGCCGCGUGAGGGAUGACGGCCUUCGGGUUGUAAACCUCUUUUAGCAGGGAAGAAGCGAAAGUGACGGUACCUGCAGAAAAAGCGCCGGCUAACUACGUGCCAGCAGCCGCGGUAAUACGUAGGGCGCAAGCGUUAUCCGGAAUUAUUGGGCGUAAAGAGCUCGUAGGCGGUUUGUCGCGUCUGCUGUGAAAUCCGGAGGCUCAACCUCCGGCCUGCAGUGGGUACGGGCAGACUAGAGUGCGGUAGGGGAGAUUGGAAUUCCUGGUGUAGCGGUGGAAUGCGCAGAUAUCAGGAGGAACACCGAUGGCGAAGGCAGAUCUCUGGGCCGUAACUGACGCUGAGGAGCGAAAGGGUGGGGAGCAAACAGGCUUAGAUACCCUGGUAGUCCACCCCGUAAACGUUGGGAACUAGUUGUG